rnacentral:rRNA from 1 species
UACGUAGGGUCCGAGCGUUGUCCGGAAUUACUGGGCGUAAAGAGCUCGUAGGUGGUUUGUCGCGUUGUUCGUGAAAAACUCACAGCUCAACUGUGGGCGUGCGGGCGAUACGGGCAGACUAGAGUACUGCAGGGGAGACUGGAAUUCCUGGUGUAGCGGUGGAAUGCGCAGAUAUCAGGAGGAACACCGGUGGCGAAGGCGGGUCUCUGGGGCAGUAAACUGACGC